UGGGGAAUAUUGGACAAUGGGCGCAAGCCUGAUCCAGCCAUGCCGCGUGGAUGAUGAAGGCCUUAGGGUUGUAAAAUCCUUUCGUGGGGGACGAUAAUGACGGUACCCCAAGAAGAAGCUCCGGCUAACUUCGUGCCAGCAGCCGCGGUAAUACGAAGGGGGCUAGCGUUGUUCGGAUUUACUGGGCGUAAAGCGCGUGUAGGCGGGUCGUUAAGUUGGGGGUGAAAUCCCGAGGCUCAACCUCGGAACUGCCUUCAAAACUGGCGACCUGGACCUAAGUAGAGGCAAGUGGAAUUGCGAGUGUAGAGGUGAAAUUCGUAGAUAUUCGCAGGAACACCAGUGGCGAAGGCGACCACCUGGUUGGAUACUGACGCUGAGACGCGAAAGCGUGGGAGCAAACAGGAUUAGAUACCCAAGUAGUCCCUGAGCGGGCUGGCAAGGCG
rnacentral:rRNA from 1 species